rnacentral:rRNA from 1 species
UACGGGGGGGGCAAGCGUUGUUCGGAAUUACUGGGCGUAAAGGGUUUGUAGGUGGCUUGUUAAGUCAGACGUGAAAUCCCUCAGCUUAACUGGGGAACUGCGUCUGAUACUGGCGAGCUUGAGUGCAGGAGAGGAACGCGGAAUUCCAGGUGUAGCGGUGAAAUGCGUAGAUAUCUGGAGGAACACCGGUGGCGAAGGCGGCGUCCUGGACCAACACUGACACUGAUGAGCGAAAGCCAGGGGAGCAAACGGG